GGGCCGUUAGCUCAGUCGGUAGAGCAGCGCACUUUUAAUGCGCGGGUCGUCGGUUCAAGUCCGACACGGCCUA
rnacentral:tRNA from 1 species